rnacentral:lncRNA from 1 species
ACCAUGGCAGUCAUGCAGUAUCUGCCAAAGUCCUAGAUGGAAGCAAGAAACAAUGACAAUACUCGAUAAAAGAAAAGGUAAAGAAUCAGAUUCAUUGCCUCGUACUAUAAUUGGUUGACCAGUUGCAUGAGCUAACCAAUCAGCAUCUCUCUUAUGCAAUAGCAGGCAUGUCCUUGAGCCAUGCAUCCAGUGGCUUACCGAUUGAGUACACAAUGAAUCCAAUCCCCCUCAGCUCGUCCGCAUUCACUACAUUCCUUCCAUCGAACACAAAAGCUGGUUU